UACAGAGGCCUCGAGCGUUAGGCGGAAUCACUGGGCUUAAAGCGCGUGUAGGCGGAUCGUUAAGUGUCUUGUGAAAUCCCACGGCUCAACCGUGGAACUGCUGGGCAUACUGGCGAUCUUGGGCCACUCAGGGGAGACCGGAACAAGCGGUGGAGCGGUGAAAUGCGUAGAUAUCGCUUGGAACGCCAAAGGUGAAGACAGGUCGCUGGGGGUGUGCCGACGCUGAGACGCGAAAGCCAGGGGAGCAAACGGG
rnacentral:rRNA from 1 species